CUCAGAUUCACCUCUCCCACCAGGGUUCUCUGUUCCUUUAAAAUCCCACCUUUCCUGUCCUUCUGAUUCAGAGGAAGGAGUUCUCAGGACUGUGUCUCCUCCUCCACGGCCCUGGGAUCUUUGCCUAUAGAGCUCCUUCUCCUCCAUCUGUGAGCAAACCUCCUCCCAUAGGCAGAAACCACAUCCACACACACAAACCCACACAACACACCAACAUCACACAGACACCAUGCACACUCAUAAACCCACACACAACACACCAAUAUCACACAAACACAUAUAAACCCACACACAACACACUGACACCACACACACAUAAAUGCACACACAACACACCAACAUCACACAUACACAUAUCAACCCACACACAACACACUGACAUCACACACACCGACAUCACACACAUAAACCCACACACAACACACUGACAUCACACACACAGACACCACACACACACACACAAUCCCACACAAAACACACCAUCAGACACAGACAUCACACACACACACAUAAACCCACACACAACACACUGAUAUCACACACACCAACAUCACACACAAACAUAGACCCACACACAACACACCAACAUCACAAACACAGACACCACACACACACAUAAAUCCUUACACAACACGCUGACAUCACACACACAGACACUAUAUACACACACAAACCCACACAACACACCGACAUCACACACACAGACACUAUGUACACAAACAUCACCCACAGACACCAGAUGCACACACCACACACACUCAAACUUCUCUCUUACACACACUCUUCCAUCACACCCUCACAGAGUCAUGACACAUGAGCAUACUACACACAUAUCACACAAAUAUUCACAGACACACAGACAACCCCCCCCACACACACAAUGCACACACCACACAACUGUCUCCCCGGGCCCACACCCUGUCCAUAUACAGACCAUGGAGAGCAAGAAGGGCUGAAGCUGGUCUUGCCCCUGCCUCCUGGAGGAGGAGGGUGCACCUGAAAACAGACCCAGCAAGAGAUGGGAGCCCCGGGAGCAGCCCAACUCCAGGUCCUCUGCAGAAGUGUCCUAGCCGCCACCAGGCUGCCCUGCAUGGCUCAGCAGUUUCCAGUGCCAGGCUGCAGGGAGGUGUGUGGGGCUGGA
rnacentral:lncRNA from 10 species